rnacentral:misc_RNA from 1 species
CAGUUGGUUAGAGCGCGCGCUUGAUAAGCGUGAGGUCGGAAGUUCAAGUCUUCCCAGGCCCACCAUUUUGAUCGAGUGCGGAGCAUUCGUCUUCUGGUACGGGGCCAUAGCUCAGCUGGGAGAGCGCGUGCUUUGCAAGCAUGAGGUCGUCGGUUCGAUCCCGUCUGGCUCCACCAGAUGGAAUUGAAGCUCGAUAGCGCCUCGUUCAUUUCGUCCGCGAAACAUCACUUCGCACUCAUUGGUCCGGAUGGACGGUGACGUGCGUGUUUUCUGACAUCGUAAAGAGGAGAUCGAUCCGAGUUUGGAUCAAGCGAAGCAAUUCGCCUGAGCCAUUCAUUAUCUCCGGGAUCAUUUCGGCGCUCGCUUCAAUCGUGAGAUUGGAUGCGGGUUGUAAAUGAUCCCUUUUAGCGAAGCUUGACCGCCUCGCUAUCGGGCCGAUCUUACGAAGCAAGCUGGUCUUUCUAGUCAAUGUCCGGCUGCGCAAUCGCAUUCAUCGAGGAUGCGUGCCUGAGACUUCGGUCUUCGGGCAGUUGUGCAGACAACAUUCUGCCGAGUGUGUGGACAUUGAUAAUGAGAGCAAUCAAGUGCCUUAAGGGUGUUCGGUGGAUGCCUUGGCGCUGAGAGGCGAUGAAGGACGUGCUACGCUGCGAUAAGCCG